CCUCUAUUGUACUAGGCCUCUAGCUUUUUAUCUUACACUUUCUAUUUUUCUCUUUUCUCUUUACCUCCCAAGGGUUUUAGCAUUUUGAAUCUGCCAUUUUUGUGUGGCUGGCUCCUACCCCUUUAGGUAAGGGAGGGUCGCCCUCCUUGUCGAUUGUGGGUUUUCCUCAUCAUAUCCAUGGGGUGUAUAUAUUUGUUUUUGGGGUUAUUGGUUAUUAAUAGGUGUUGCUUAGUGUGAGGGCUUAGUUUUGGCCUAUUUUAGUUCUUAUACUUUUCUAUUAUUGUUGUUGAUAUGAGGCAUUUGAUGGCAGAUCUAGUGGUUGUUGAGUGAUUUUCGUUGGAUCUGCCUAUCAUUGUAAUUGUAAGCAAGUGAGUUAGUUUUGGUCUUUGAUUGAGUUUUCUACUUGAUAAAUAACUCUGUUUCAGCCACACAAUGUGAGGAUUUUGUAGGAUUGGUGGCAGCUCGGAGGGUGGCCUAUGGUUUCCUGCCCGGAAGGCAUGAGUGAGAUGCAAAAGAGUAAUGUCUCCUUCUACCCUCAUAGUUUUAUGUUCUUCUCGUUUCCCUUGCUUAGCGCCAGUUCCUGCUCAGCUCAUGGGUUGCUGGGGCCUUUGUUAUCAAGCAUUUCGCCGAGCGUGGCCUAGUCUUAUGUGUCAAUUUGCUCAAAUCUCCCAUCGGUGAAAGUUGAAAGUUGCAGUGUUCCUCUAUUCCUCGUCUGAUGUGGCACUAUGGUUAAGAGAAUGCCGGGCUUUUGGCUUUUGGGUGGGUCACCCGCUUCAGCUAGGUUUUUUUAUAAAUGGGCUGGGGCCUUAUUGAGUGCGCUAGGGGUUUCUGGUUAGCUAGACUUAUUUUUUAGAGCUAGAGGCCUUUUAUAUAAUGGUUUUCCUGUAUUUAGCUUUCACGCCUACUUAUCAAUGGAAGUCCCUUUAUCUUAGGAUAAGGUUGGUGCAUCAGAAGACCAGCAAAAGUAUGCAUUAAUUUAUAAAGAAGAAAUCGACACAAAAUCAUUCAGAUAAGGCAUGUACUGGUUGUUUUGUCGAAUCAAAUAAUCUCAUUUAUAGUGUAGCA
rnacentral:misc_RNA from 1 species